rnacentral:rRNA from 1 species
AGGGCACCACCAGGAGUGGAGCCUGCGGCUUAAUUUGACUCAACACGGGAAAACUUACCCGGCCCGGACACUGGAAGGAUUGACAGAUUGAGAGCUCUUUCUUGAUUCAGUGGGUGGUGGUGCAUGGCCGUUCUUAGUUGGUGGAGCGAUUUGUCUGGUUAAUUCCGAUAACGAACGAGACUCCAGCCUACUAAAUAGACUGUUCAGUUUUAUAGCUGGAAUCACCGGGUGUGUAGCUUUCGGGUUGCGCAUUCGGCUCUGGUGACACUGGCAGUGCUUCUUAGAGGGACAGGCGGCGGUUCAGCCGCACGAAACAGAGCAAUAACAGGUCUGUGAUGCCCUUAGAUGUCCGGGGCUGCACGCGCGCUACACUGAAGUGAUCAGCGUGCAAUUUACGUUUGGUGAUCUGUCAAGAUUGCCCAACCCGUUGAACCUUCUUCGUGAUUGGGAUAGGGGAUUGUAAUUAUUCCCCUUGAACGAGGAAUUCCCAGUAAGCGCAAGUCAUAAGCUUGCGUUGAU